UACGUAGGGUGCAAGCGUUAAUCGGAAUUACUGGGCGUAAAGCGUGCGCAGGCGGCUUUGCAAGACAGAUGUGAAAUCCCCGGGCUCAACCUGGGAACUGCAUUUGUGACUGCAUGGCUAGAGUACGGUAGAGGGGGAUGGAAUUCCGCGUGUAGCAGUGAAAUGCGUAGAUAUGCGGAGGAACACCGAUGGCGAAGGCAAUCCCCUGGACCUGUACUGACGCUCAUGCAC
rnacentral:rRNA from 1 species